rnacentral:rRNA from 1 species
UGAGGAAUAUUGGACAAUGGGGGCAACCCUGAUCCAGCCAUGCCGCGUGAGUGAUGAAGGCCCUAGGGUUGUAAAGCUCUUUCAGUCGUGAAGAUAAUGACGGUAGCGACAGAAGAAGCCCCGGCUAAUUUCGUGCCAGCAGCCGCGGUAAUACGAAAGGGGCUAGCGUUGUUCGGAAUUACUGGGCGUAAAGCGCGUGUAGGCGGCCUGGCAAGUUGGGGGUGAAAGCCCAGGGCUCAACCCUGGAAUUGCCUCCAAAACUGCCAAGCUCGAGUCCGGAAGAGGAGUGUGGAAUUCCUAGUGUAGAGGUGAAAUUCGUAGAUAUUAGGAAGAACACCGGUGGCGAAGGCGACACUCUGGUCCGGUACUGACGCUGAGACGCGAAAGCGUGGGGAGCAAACAGGAUUAGAUACCCCCGUAGUCC